GGCAGUUCUCGGGUAACGCAUCCCGGAAUCGGGCUCCCUCCUCUCUGGCUCUGGGUACAUCACCUGAGAACCACA
rfam:Myotis lucifugus cont2.1869, whole genome shotgun sequence.